AAUGAACGCUGGCGGCAGGCCUAACACAUGCAAGUCGAGCGGAUGAACGGAGCUUGUUCCUGGAUUCAGUGGCGGACGGGCGAGUAAUGCCUACGAAUCUGCCUGGUAUUGGGGGAUAACGUCCGGAAACGGGCGCGAAUAUCGCAUACGUCCUGAUGGUGAAAGUGAGGGUUCUUUGGACAUCAAGCGUUUUGAUGAGCCUAAGUGGGAUUAGCUAGUUGGUGGGGUAACGGCCUACCAAGGCGACGAUCCGAAGCUGGCCUGAGAGGAUGAUCAGACACACUGGAACUGAGACACGGUCCAGACUCCUACGGGAGGCAGCAGUGGGGAAUCUUGGGCAAUGGGCGAAAGCCUGACCCAGCAAUGCCGCGUGUGUGAUGAAGGUCUUCGGAUCGUAAAGCUCUUUAAGUUGGGAAGAACGACUGUGUAUGUAUCUCUUGCCGUUUUGACGUUACCUACUGAAAAAGCCCCGGCUAACUUCGUG
rnacentral:rRNA from 1 species